GCCUCCACCCUUUCAUCGGUCUCCUUCUCCUCCCCGAUCUUGAAGAAAGGUAUUGCUGAGACGCAAAGCACAAGUUGGAAGAUUCAAAAUGAGGUAUUCAUGAUUAGUGUUACCCUGCAUCCACUUGUUAAAUCGAAGAAUUUGAGCCCUGUGCCACUGAUGAUUCCAUUUGCUACUCUUGAUCUGUCUGGAUGAUGAAUCUGCAACCACCAAUUGCAUGUUCUGAGAUGGUAUACUCUGGGAAUGCCAAUAUCUGAAACUGUUGCCAUGAAGCCAAUGGAAAUUAGUCAUGUGACUGAAACUUUGGCAAAGAACUCUGACCUCAUGCUGUGAUGGGAUCCUGGAGUCUCAAGUCUAGUUUGGCUGUUAAUUUAGGACCCAGUAGAUGCAGAAACUGGAUUUGGUGUUACAAGAAGGCUGGCUGAAGUGCAGUAGAUACUGGCAUAAAGGAUUGGAACUAAAUGUAGAGGUGUCCCAGUCAGGUGGCCAGUGAAUUUACAACUGCCAGUGUAGCUAAGAAUGAGAAAUGACGACGCUAUCAAGAGAUGCAGUGGGAGACAUCCAUGAAUUUCAGACAACGUUUUUUAUCCCGGGUGCUUACUGAUUUCCACUAUCAAUAAAAUGUGUGCACUUA